AAUCAACGCUGGCGGCGUGGAUAAGACAUGCAAGUCGAACGGGAUUACUUUUGUAGCAAUACAGAAGUAAUUCAGUGGCGAACGGGUGCGUAACACGUGGGCAAUCUGCCGAAAAGUGGGGGAUAGCUCGCCGAAAGGCGAAUUAAUACCGCAUGUGGUGAGGGACGACAUCUUCCUGAAUCCAAAGCCGGGGCAACCUGGCGCUUUUUGAGGAGCCCGCGGCCUAUCAGCUUGUUGGUGAGGUAACGGCUCACCAAGGCUUUGACGGGUAGCUGGUCUGAGAGGACGACCAGUCACACUGGAACUGAGACACGGCCCAGACUCCUACGGGAGGCAGCAGUGGGGGAAUCUUGCGCAAUGGGCGAAAGCCUGACGCAGCGACGCCGCGUGAGGGAUGACGGCCUC
rnacentral:rRNA from 1 species